GAGAGAAUUAUAAUGGACUACUUAAACAGUGCAGUUUAUUGAAGCAAUAGAUACAGGUUCUUAUGGAUUGUCAGUGAUAAAUACACUGUCUGCAAAAGCACAUGCAAAUAAUAGAGUGUACAAACGCGUGACA